rnacentral:rRNA from 1 species
CCCGAAGUCGGUGGAGUAACCGUAAGGAGCUAGCCGCCUAAGGUGGGACAGAUGAUUGGGGUGAAGUCGUAACAAGGUAGCCGUAUCGGAAGGUGCGGCUGGAUCACCUCCUUU